CUGAUCUCCUGCACGCACCCGGCCUCGCCUGAAAAGCCCCACGUACAGCAAAGCGGCCGUGUCUUGGUGGCCUCUGCCUGGGGCGCUAUGGGUGGCCUGUCUAUGCCUCAGUUUCCCCAUUCUUGAUGAGAGGGAGCUGGGGUCGCUACUGGUCACUCGGGCCCCAGGCAGACCAAGGCUCACUUCUGUCCACUCCCUGGCCCCAUUCCCAGGAAUCCCACCGGUUCCUGGCCGGGGUCUGGAAUCUGUUCUCCCAGUCCAGGACCUACCCUCCCCUCCACUUCCUGCCUGCAAGCUCUG
rnacentral:lncRNA from 1 species